rnacentral:rRNA from 1 species
GACGAACGCUGGCGGCGCGCUUAACACAUGCAAGUCGAGCGAGAACCAGGACUUCGGUCCUGGGGACAGCGGCGAACGGGUGAGUAACACGUGGAUAACCUGCCCUCGGCACCGGGAUAGCCCGGGGAAACCCGGAUUAAUACCGGAUGGCCCUUCCGGCUCACGAGCCGGUCGGAAAAGGUAGCUUCGGCCUCCGGCCGAGGAUGGGUCCGCGGCGGAUUAGCUUGUUGGUGGGGUAACGGCCUACCAAGGCCCCGAUCCGUAGCUGGUCUGAGAGGACGAUCAGCCACACUGGGACUGAGACACGGCCCAGACUGCUACGGGAGGCAGCAGUGGGGAAUCUUGCGCAAUGGGCGAAAGCCUGACGCAGCGACGCCGCGUGAGGGAGGAAGGCCUUCGGGUUGUAAACCUCUUUCAGGAGGGACGAAGCUACUCGGGUGAAUAGCCCAGAGGGUGACGGUACCUCCAGAAGAAGCCCCGGCUAACUACGUGCCAGCCGCCGCGGUAA